AACGAACGCUGGCGGCAUGCCUAACGCAUGCAAGUCGAACGAGACCUUCGGGUCUAGUGGCGCACGGGUGCGUAACGCGUGGGAACCUGCCCUUAGGUUCGGAAUAACUCCCCGAAAGGGGUGCUAAUACCGGUUAAUGUCUUCGGACCAAAGAUUUAUCGCCUUUGGAUGGGCCCGCGUUGGAUUAGCUAGUUGGUAGGGUAAAAGCCUACCAAGGCGACGAUCCAUAGCUGGUCUGAGAGGAUGAUCAGCCACACUGGGACUGAGACACGGCCCAGACUCCUACGGGAGGCAGCAGUGGGGAAUAUUGGACAAUGGGCGAAAGCCUGAUCCAGCAAUGCCGCGUGAGUGAUGAAGGCCUUAGGGUUGUAAAGCUCUUUUACCCGGGAUGAUAAUGACAGUACCGGGAGAAUAAGCUCCGGCUAACUCCGUG
rnacentral:rRNA from 1 species